AAGAACUGGAAGAAGUACUGCCGGGCAGCACUCUAAUGUAUACCAUCUCCCACGGUCAUUGGGGCUAGGUACAGUGUCUAGUGUAGUGGGUAGUACAGCUGUUGCUUUGUUCCGUCCUUGGGACUGACUGUGAGUUGGUUUUUGCUUAGUCUACCGUCGGGGCGACGAUGCAGAAGCUAGGGGUGGAUUGUGAUAGGAUGAAUGAGGUAAGUGGCUGUGAUUGACACGUGUGAGCACCAAUCAGCAGCGAGUGCUGAGUAUUUCAGGACGUGUUUGGUUUAGCCUGUGAUGUGUCACAUCCGGACCCUCCCCUUUUCUUGUCUUGACGGUGGCUUUAGCCUGUCUGUUUUUCAUUUGUUGCUGUGGACUGUAUGAUUGCCUUUUUAGCUUUGCAGCGGGGUAUUUGAACACUGCGUGUCCAGCCGCGAACUGAUAGUAAGCUCAUCUACUCCCAUUGGGCUCAUUUGGAUUCUCCCUCUUUCAUCCUGGAGCUGGGGUCCCACAGGUGGAGGAUCUUUUGUGGUGGUGGUGCUGCUUCAACGUUUGCCGUGUUUGCCACUUUCUGAAGUGUGUGCGUGUGUGUGUGAUCGGAGUUCACGGUGUGGUGUGUAGAAGUGUGCUUUUGGAUAACUAGUGCUGGUCAUCACUCCGGAGCUGGGGUCCCACAGGUGGAGGAUCUUUUGUGGUGGUGGUGCUGCUUCAACGUUUGCCGUGUUUGCCACUUUCUGAAGUGUGUGCGUGUGUGUGUGAUCGGAGUUCACGGUGUGGUGUGUAGAAGUGUGCUUUUGGAUAACUAGUGCUGGUCAUCACUCCGGUGGGUAACCUCAGUCCUGUAAGUUUGUGUAUUUUGUUUCUUGGUUUUUUUUGUUUGUUUAUGGUGAGAGUAUAAACUGACUGUGUAAUGUUUUGUUUAUUGUUGGUUUGAAAUUGUUUCAAUUAAUUUAGUAUUUGAUUUUCUUUAAUGUGAAUCUGUUAUAAUUUUGUUUUCAUGGUCAUUGGGGAUUUGCUGAUAGCCAAUACACCCCAUGACUAGACCAUUUUAAGUGCUUUUAGUGUUUAAAUAAACUUUUUGUAUUUCUGAUAUCCAUGUUUUCCGCCUACCUUAAUUUAUGAGAAUCGGAUCUGUGUGACCUAAUAACAAACUUUGGGGUUAUUUCUAUUUCCCGGGUGAUCCGGGUGGCGUAGUCGACAAAUUCAAAUGUGUGUUUAACCUGUA